rnacentral:rRNA from 1 species
AUUGAACGCUGGCGGCAGGCUUAACACAUGCAAGUCGAGCGAGCGGCGGACGGGUGAGUAAUGUAUGGGAAACUGCCUGAUAGAGGGGGAUAACUACUGGAAACGGUAGCUAAUACCGCAUACCAUCAGAUGUGCCCAGAUGGGAUUAGCUAGUUGGUGGGGUAAAGGCUCACCUAGGCGACGAUCCGUAGCUGGUCUGAGAGGAUGACCAGCCACACUGGAACUGAGACACGGCCCAGACUCCUACGGGAGGCAGCAGUGGGGAAGUUUGCACAAUGGGGGCAAGCCUGAUCCAGCCAUGCCGCGUGUGUGAGGAAGGCCUUCGGGUUGUAAAGUACUUUCAGCGGGGAAGCGUUACCUGCAGAAGAAGCACCGGCUAACUCCGUGCCAGCAGCCGCGGUAAUAC